rnacentral:rRNA from 1 species
CCUACGGGAGGCAGCAGUGAGGAAUAUUGGUCAAUGGCCGGAAGGCUGAACCAGCCAAGUCGCGUGAGGGACGACUGCCCUAUGGGUUGUAAACCUCUUUUGUUCAAGGGCAAGGCACGGUCUUUGGCCGUGUUGAGUGGAUUGUUCGAAUAAGCACCGGCUAACUACGUGCCAGCAGCCGCGGUAAUACGUAGGGUGCAAGCGUUAUCCGGAUUUAUUGGGCGUAAAGGGCUCGUAGGCGGUUCGUCGCGUCCGGUGUGAAAGUCCAUCGCUUAACGGUGGAUCCGCGCCGGGUACGGGCGGGCUUGAGUGCGGUAGGGGAGACUGGAAUUCCCGGUGUAACGGUGGAAUGUGUAGAUAUCGGGAAGAACACCAAUGGCGAAGGCAGGUCUCUGGGCCGUUACUGACGCUGAGGAGCGAAAGCGUGGGGAGCGAACAGGAUUAGAUACCCCAGUAGUC